rnacentral:rRNA from 1 species
UUGGCCUAGCUAAACCGGAUUGUAAACUGUAGAAGUGUUUUCCAGGCAAGCCGGACCGAUAAGUCCUUUGGAACAGGGCAUCAUAGAGGGUGAGAAUCCCGUCUUCGGUCUGAGCAUUUGCCUUUUGCGAUACACUUUCAAAGAGUCAGGUUGUUUGGGAAUGCAGCCUAAAUUGGGUGGUAAAUCUCACCUAAAGCUAAAUAUUGGCGAGAAACCGAUAGCGAACAAGUACCGUGAGGGAAAGAUGAAAAGAACUUUGAAAAGAGAGUUAAACAGUAUGUGAAAUUGUUAAAAGGGAACCGUUUGGAGCCAGACUGGCUUGUCUGUAAUCAGUCUAAGCUUCGGCUUGGAUGCACUUGCAGGCUAUGCCUGCCAACGACAAUUUGGCUUGAGGGAAAAAACUAAGGGAAAUGUGGCCCAUCCGUGGGUGUUAUAGUCCCUUAGAAAAUACCUUGGGCUGGAUUGAGGUACGCAGCGAAUGCUAUUUGGCGAGUUGGCUGGGAAUA